CUAAACGAUGCCAACCAGCGAUCCGCCUGAGUUCCUUAAAUGACUCGGCGGGCAGCUUCCGGGAAACCAAAGUUUUUCGGUUCCGGGGGAAGUAUGGUUGCAAAGCUGAAACUUAAAGGAAUUGACGGAAGGGCACCACCAGGAGUGGAGCCUGCGGCUUAAUUUGACUCAACACGGGAAAACUUACCCGGCCCGGACACUGGCAGGAUUGACAGAUUGAGAGCUCUUUCUUGAUUCAGUGGGUGGUGGUGCAUGGCCGUUCUUAGUUGGUGGAGCGAUUUGUCUGGUUAAUUCCGAUAACGAACGAGACUCUAGCCUACUAAAUAGGCCACCGGCUUACUGACGUCGGUGGGACUUCUUAGAGGGACAGGCGGCGAUUCAGCCGCACGAAACAGAGCAAUAACAGGUCUGUGAUGCCCUUAGAUGUCCGGGGCCGCACGCGCGCUACACUGAAGUGAUCAGCGUGCAUUACAAACCUGCUCCGUCAGGAGUGGGGAACCCAAUGAACCUUCUUCGUGAUUGGGAUAGGGGAUUGUAAUUAUUCCCCUUGAACGAGGAAUUCCCAGUAAGCGCGAGUCAUAAGCUCGCGUUGAUUACGUCCCUGCCCUUUGUACACACCGCCCGUCGCUACUACCGAUUGAAUGAUUUAGUGAGGUCUUCGGACUGGCCGGCGCAGCUGUCUUCGGGCGGCCGCGCUGUGUUGGAAAGAUGCCCAACUUGAUCAUUUAGAGGAAGUAAAAGUCGUAACAAGGUUUCCGUAGUGACCUGCGGAAGGAUC
rnacentral:rRNA from 1 species